rnacentral:rRNA from 1 species
GACGAACGCUGGCGGCGUGCCUAAUACAUGCAAGUCGAGCGAAGCGGCGGAUGGGUGAGUAACGCGUGGGUAACCUGCCCUUAAGGCUGAGAUAACAUUUGGAAACAUAUGCUAAUACCGGAUACUAAAGGAUGGACCUGCGAUGCAUUAGCUAGUUGGUAAGGUAACGGCUUACCAAGGCGAUGAUGAAUAGCCGGUUUGAGAGGAUGAUCGGCCACACUGGGACUGAGACACGGCCCAGACUCCUACGGGAGGCAGAAGUAGGGAAUCUUCCACAAUGGACGAAAGUCUGAUGGAGCAACGCCGCGUGAGUGAAGAAGGUUUUCGGAUUGUAAAGUACUGUUGUUGGUGAGGCGGUAAUCAACGAGAAAGUCACGGCUAACUCCGUGCCAGCAGCCGCGGUAAUUC